GCCCCGCCGCCCUUCCGCACCUCCCGGGACCAACAACAGGAAGCCGGGCACAAAGAAGAUGGCGCUGGAGACACCUGCAGGAGGAGGGGCAGAGUCAAGGCGGGGGCGAGGGGCAGGGCUCAGGAGGCACUGCCUGGGCAAGUCUCACUGUCCGUGGCUGAAGGGACCGUUUCCUGCUACGAGGGUGGAAGCAAACUCCCGAGGGGGCUGGGAGUUCUUCCCUUGUGGGGGCCCCCCAUUUGCCUGCGGAGGUAGGAGGGGUUGCUCACCUGACGAGGGGGCCACCUCCAGUCCCACGGCGAUCAGGAUCAGCACUGCACACAGAUGGAGCCGCGAGGGUGCUGCCAGGCACUGGGCUAAGCUUGUCACCUGCCCUGCUUUAUUGUCACCAUGACUGACUGAAACAGGUAUGAUCAUCCCCAUUUCAUAGAAGGUGAAACUGAGGCACAGAACGCUGCAUUCAGAAGGAAGAGGCAAUCUGACUCCAGAUGUUUUGCUCUGGGCAUUGUACAGGCAGAAAAGGGGAGGAGUGUCCCACACAGAGGGAGCAGCAUGGCAAGGGCCCACAGUCAAGAGGGAACUUGGGGCUUUCUAGGAGUUUCCAGCUUUUGGCAAGAGUGGUGAGGCAAGAGACCAGGCCUGAAGAGUUUGGCAGGAGCUGUAGGCAAUGGCGAGGGAUGUAGACUUUGGCUGAGGACAGUGGGUGUUGGGGAAGUCAUGGUUGAAUCAGCUUUUCAUACCCAGAGGGUCCUGGGUCCCCAGUUAAAUAAUGGGACUGGGGGGUGGUUGGGGAGCCAGGCUCUGCAGCAAGGUGGGCAAUAGAGCACGGAGGCUUGAGGGGCCACCAUGGACUGCUAUGUGAUUUGUACCUUGCACAGAGCACCUCAAGUAUGCGAUGGGGGCUGGAACACUACUUGCCCCCUAAGCUUAGAGCUGGGGGCCCUGCCACUCAGAGGAGGCGUCUUUUUCUAAUUCCCACAAAGGCCCUUUAUAGGUCUAUGGUGAUCUCCAGCCUGGUAAUGUCCCUGAUGUGGGUUUAUUUAUUUAGUUUUUUUUAAAAAUUAUUUAUUUAUUCAUGAGAGACAUAGAGAGAGGCAGAGACAUAGGCAGAGAGAGAAGCAGGCUCACUGUGGGGAGCCUGAUGUGGGACUCCAUCCCAUGACCAGACCCUCAACCACUGAGCCACCCAGGGGGUCCCUCUGAUGUGGGUUUAAAUCCCAGUUCAUCUACUUCUCAGUUAAGGUCUGAGCAAGUCCCUUUACCUGCCUGAGGCUCUGUCCUUACUUCUGAACAGGAAUGGUAAUAAUGCUUGCCCUCAUGGGUAUUGAGAGUAUGAAAUGGGGUAAGGGAGGUGGCCAGUGUGACCAGUGCUCAGCUUGCAGUGGGUACUGGGGAAGUGGUGUCUCCCUCCCCUGCACAUAGACACCCAGGGCUGAGUCAAGGACGCUGUUCAGCUUUCUGGCCAGGGGACUUUGACCAUCCUGGAGGAAGGAGAGCAGUUGCCACAGCUGGGCUGUCUUUAGGUCUCUUGACCCCAACCCUGUCCUUUCUGGGGAUCCUGAGUCCUUAGCACCAUAGAAUGAGUCAGAAAACAUCUGGCUGUGAGAUCUGCCUGUUCUGGGCUUCAAUUUGCCCAUCUGGGUGGGGAGAGGCCCUCAUCAGCACUCAGACUCCGGAGAAGGGGAAAUGAUAGGUGCUCUAUGGAUCAGGCUGGCAGGGAUGGGCAUAUCUCUGAGCAUCUGUCCCCAUACAGAACCCCAUACAGGUUCUGAGUCAUGGCCCUGCCUCUCACCUACUGUGUGACUUCUGUAAGGCAGAAAAAAAAGCCUACCCUGCACCUGGCUCAAAGUAGACUCAGAAUAAAUGACAGCUGUUACUCUUCUGCUCCCUGAUGGAAUUCAAUGGGCUGAAAGAAAGAAAGAAAGAAAGAAAGAAAGAAAGAAAGAAAAGAAAGAAGAAAAGAAAAGAAAAGAAAGAAAGACAAAAGUUUGGAGUACUAGACUAAGUUCCAUUUUCAACUCUGUGCAAUUUCCUGGCUGUGUGACCAGGAGACUGGGCCUGCUCCUCCCAAGGAUGCAAGGAGGCUCAGUGUGGCAAGGGGAUGCAGAGCCUGCACAAAGGAGGACAGACCCCUCAUGGGGGUAGGCAGGGGACCCUCAGGACACUCACUCAGCCCCAGCAGCAGGAGCAGGAAGGAGGCCAGCACCACCCGGCGGUUCUUCUGGAUCAAAGGGUGUUGAGUCCAGCUGGGUGGCAGGAGAGCAGAAUAGGUGUGAGAGGUGACAGGAGCCCAACACCCUCCUGUUACCCUUCCCCACCCAGAGGACUGAGGUGGAAAGCCAGAGCUGCCUGUUCUGGGGCACAGACCCCAGGUGGCUUAAGCAGGGCAAGGUCUCACCUGCAGCAGGCAUGGUAGGAGCGCUGGGUGCUAUUGCUGAUGGUGCUGAAGGACCACUGGGAGCUGCGGAUGGACGUUCGGCUGGAAUCCCUGCAGGCCAGGUGGGUCCAGUGGGAGGCAGGGGAAGCAAGGAAGGGGUCAUAAUGACGUGGUCAGGGAUGGUGCAGGGAGCACUGAGAGGGGACAGGGUGAAGAGGAAUUCAGGGGCUGGGGUCUCUGACAGUACUGAGAGUGGACAAAAGGUGGGGGUUCAAGCUAGGGAUUCCUGCAGGACAGGUGAUCUGCGGGAAGGUAGGGGCCAGACCAGGCUGCGGGGGGUGGGGGGGGUUCUUCAGGAUAAAGAGCCUGGUGGGACUGGGUGGGUGAAACGGGCACUGGGGUAGGGGGACCCUGCAGGACAGGAGAACCCAUGAGGGGAGUGGGGAUCAAGCUAGGAAUUCUUGUAGGGCAGAAUGUGAGGGAGCUGAGUGAUGUGAGGUGGAAGACUGGCCAGGGACCUGGGGAACAGGAACCAGAAGCAUAGGGCUAGAAGUACAGGGUGGGUCCCCACCUGGCCCUGACCUGGUGCCGACUCCCCCAUCGGGCUCCGCAGAGGGCUGGGCUCCAUCCUCAUCGUUCUCCAGGUUCUAUUCCAGAACACAGGGCUCAGAGGGGUGGUUGGGCCCAGGCCCUUCCCACUCCCCUCUCAGGGAGAGGAGGAAAGCAAUGCCACACAGCUGUUUGCCUGGCUGCCUGACAGCUGCUCACCUGGCCCUCCACCCUCCCCGCAAAACGGGUUUGAUGAUUCACAGAAACCGAAACCCAGAGUCCCUCCUACAAGUAGGAGAAGAAAAGAAAGGAAAAGAGAAAUAACCACUGGCCCUGGGUAGAGAUGCCCACAGGGCAGUUUCCUAAUGGACCCAGUGUGAGGAAAACUCAGAACCCAUGUCUUCAGGAGCAUUUGAAACACCAGCAGCAGCACUCAGGAGGAAGAUGCUGGCAGGAGCCACAUGGAAUGCUUGCCUUCUAAGGACCACCAGGCCAAUCACCAGAGGAUGGACAGAGGGCUGUGGGCUAGGUUAUUGGGAAGUGGUGCCAAAUACUUCACUGUGUGCCCAACUUCCAUCAUGAGCAGGACCAGACCAGAAACUGCAUAAACUUCCCAAGAAACAUGGUCUCCUUGGCAUGUUCAUGAGUCAUUUGACCCACAAUAUUCAUAUGACUGAACCCUGGAGCUAGGUUAGCUUGGGUUAUUUUUCAUGGGUUUCUGUAGCAUAUCACUAAUUAGCAAAAUGAAGCGCAGAAUUUUUCAGGCCACUUUUUAAGCUUGAAAUUAUGUCUCUUUAACAUUUGUUAAGAACUAUAUCAUAUUUUCUGGCCCCUACCCAUGGAGGAAAAGUACUGUGUAAGAGGUUUGGGAUUGUUUUUAAAUUAAUUAAUUCUUUUUAUAGAUUUUAUUAUAUUAUUUAUUAUUAAAGAUUUUAUUUAUUUAUUCAUGAAAGAGGCAGAGACAUAGGCAGAGGGAGAAGCAGGCUCCUCGAGG